GGGGGACCUUGGAUAAUGACAGUAAUUGUCACAACUUCCAAUCUUCCUCAAGCUUUAGAGUUCAGGACUCUGGAUCCCCUCACCAAGGCCACGGCACCAGAGAGGAUGAGAAGGGCUGAUGUUGCAUCUCAGCUGCCCUCUUAGCUGACUAGCCGCACGGAAAAAAAGAAUCCUUGGAAAAUGAAAUAAAAUAUCUUUAUAACUAUUCUUCUCGACUGGGAUACAGCAGGGAGCAGAUGAGAAACCCAAUUUCCGCCACUUUGCAAACACUGGAAGUGAAACUAUGCAGUUUUCUUCUGAAGCAAAUUGCUUUAAGUAGAAAAGCUGCUUCCAGCAAAAUGACGAAGCAUUCCAAGUAUCACCGGUGUGCAUGGUGUGGUCCAAAGGGGGCCCUGAAGCUUGCCGAGCACUAACAAGCCAUCUCUGGUUAGCGAGCCGACAGGUGCCUGCAAGUCCAAGCAGCAGAUGACAUCAGGCCGAGGCUGGGGUCCCACAGGCAAACUCACCCCAGCGGACCUCGUGAUACUUUGGGAGGCCAGGCUCACUGUCUCCCAUUCCUAGUCACCUUGUUACCAACUCCUGUGGAAAAUUUAAUGUGGCCAGAAGGAAUUCUGACCUCUUUUAGACAAAAACAUGCUCAUGUUUUUAUGAUGAACUAUUGCAUAUUUUUAUUGAAAACAUUUAAUACUGCUCUAAAAGGGUGACUAUUUUUUAGGUAUUGCCCCACUGCUGAUUUCUGAUUGAAUGCUGCCAAGAACAAGAAAGGAGGAAAAAAAAAAAAAAAAAAAAAACUGGAGACGCUAUCAGAUUCAUUAAACAUUGUAUUUAAUUGUUCUUGUAUUUAAACCCUGCCCUUAUCAGUGACAUUGCCACUUUUCUCAUUUUUCAAAGUUGCAUAUUGGAAGAAAACAAGAAAAGGGAGCAAUGGUGUGGCCUGGGAAACUAGGGUGUUUACUGCCUAGAGGAACCAGAAGUUCAUAUGGGCCUGGCUGGCUGAAGAAAUGACAGCUCAGCAUAGGGAAGGGGAGGGAAAAAAAAAAAAAAAAAAAAAGGCGAUAGCAGCAGCAAAGCAAGAACAAAACAUUUAAAGAGAUCUGGCCAGAACUGGUCUGCACAAAUUCCUGUCCUGCCUUCCUCCUCCUCGCUCCCACAAGCCGCAGCAAUCUUGCCUUCCCUAGGAAACUGCAACUCCUACCUCCUCCGAGGGGGCUGCGCACGCGCCCCGUGCCGGGGUGCGCGCAUUUUCCCUCU
rnacentral:lncRNA from 1 species